rnacentral:lncRNA from 1 species
UGCAGAUCGCUAUGGAGUUUGUUAGAUAAUAGCUUGUAAUAUAUUGAUGUUGCUUCUUUGAUUCCCUAUUGAUCCAUCGUCAGCCUUUCUUGUUGGUUGUGUCCAGGAUGUUACCAUCAUUUAGUUCUUCAGCCUGCUUCAUCAAGCACAACUAUGCACAAUUUUUACAUUUAUGUGCUACAGUUAGAAGCAAUUCUAUAUUUGUGUAGCACUUUUGUUCCAGCUUUGCAACUGUACUGACUAUAAAAAAAUAUGGGAGAA